CUGACUAAUGAUGAAUAGAAUUACCGCCCCAGUCUGAUAGCUAUGACUGAUUGGUACAAAUGGAUCUG
rfam:Dendroctonus ponderosae Seq01033553, whole genome shotgun sequence.